CAAGUCGAACGAACCUUUCGGGGUUAGUGGCGGACGGGUGAGUAACGCGUGAGAAUCUGCCCUCAGGAGGGGGAUAACGACUGGAAACGGUCGCUAAUACCCCAUAUGCCGAGAGGUGAAAUGAAUUUCGCCUGAGGAUGAGCUCGCGUCUGAUAGCUAGUUGGUGGGGUAAAGGCCUACCAAGGCGACGAUCAGUAGCUGGUCUGAGAGGAUGAUCAGCCACACUGGGACUGAGACACGGCCCAGACUCCUACGGGAGGCAGCAGUGGGGAAUUUUCCGCAAUGGGCGAAAGCCUGACGGAGCAACGCCGCGUGAGGGAUGAAGGCCUCUGGGCUGUAAACCUCUUUUCUCAAGGAAGAAGAUCUGACGGUACUUGAGGAAUAAGCCACGGCUAAUUCCGUGCCAGCAGCCGCGGUAAUACGGGAGUGGCAAGCGUUAUCCGGAAUUAUUGGGCGUAAAGCGUCCGCAGGCGGCCUUGUAAGUCUGUCGUUAAAGCGUGGAGCUUAACUCCAUUUCAGCGGUGGAAACUACAAGGCUUGAGUGUGGUAGGGGCAGAGGGAGUUCCCGGUGUAGCGGUGAAAUGCGUAGAUAUCGGGAAGAACACCAGUGGCGAAGGCGCUCUGCUGGGCCAUAACUGACGCUCAUGGACGAAAGCCAGGGGAGCGAAAGGGAUUAGAUACCCCUGUAGUCCUGGCCGUAAACGAUGAACACUAGGCGUCGGGGGAAUCGACCCCCUCGGUGUCGUAGCCAACGCGUUAAGUGUUCCGCCUGGGGGAGUACGCACGCAAGUGUGAAACUCAAAGGAAUUGACGG
rnacentral:rRNA from 1 species